GACGAACGCUGGCGGCGUGCUUAACACAUGCAAGUCGAACGGUGAAGCGCCUUCCUUUUUGGUGGGUGUGGAUGAGUGGCGAACGGGUGAGUAACACGUGAGUAACCUGCCCCCUUCUUCUGGAUAACCGCAUGAAAGUGUGGCUAAUACGGGAUAUUCUGGGUCUGUCGCAUGAUGGGUCUGGGAAAGAUAUUGUUUCGGUGGGGGAUGGGCUCGCGGCCUAUCAGCUUGUUGGUGGGGUGAGGGCCUACCAAGGCGGUGACGGGUAGCCGGCCUGAGAGGGUGGCCGGUCACACUGGGACUGAGACACGGCCCAGACUCCUACGGGAGGCAGCAGUGGGGAAUAUUGCACAAUGGGCGCAAGCCUGAUGCAGCGACGCCGCGUGAGGGAUGGAGGCCUUCGGGUUGUGAACCUCUUUCGCCAGUGAAGCAGGCCUGCCUCGUUUGUGGGUGGGUUGACGGUAGCUGGAUAAGAAGCGCCGGCUAACUAUGUG
rnacentral:rRNA from 1 species